ACGGAAGGCAGCAGUGGGGGAUAUUGCACAAUGGGGGAAACCCUGAUGCAGCGACGCCGCGUGAGCGAAGAAGUAUUUCGGUAUGUAGAGCUCUAUCAGCAGGGAAGAAAAUGACGGUACCUGACUAAGAAGCUCCGGCUAAAUACGUGCCAGCAGCCGCGGUAAUACGUAUGGAGCAAGCGUUAUCCGGAUUUACUGGGUGUAAAGGGAGCGUAGACGGUUUGCCAAGUCUGAUGUGAAAGGUGGGGGCUCAACCCCCAAACUGCAUUGGAAACUGGUAGACUAGAGUGUCGGAGAGGUAAGUGGAAUUCCUAGUGUAGCGGUGAAAUGCGUAGAUAUUAGGAGGAACACCAGUGGCGAAGGCGGCUUACUGGACGAUAACUGACGUUGAGGCUCGAAAGCGUGGGGAGCAAACAGGAUUAGAUACCCUGGUA
rnacentral:rRNA from 1 species